GACGAACGCUGGCGGCGUGCCUAAUACAUGCAAGUAGAACGCUGAAGGAGGAGCUUGCUUCUCUGGAUGAGUUGCGAACGGGUGAGUAACGCGUAGGUAACCUGCCUGGUAGCGGGGGAUAACUAUUGGAAACGAUAGCUAAUACCGCAUAAUAGCAGUUAUUGCAUGAUAACUGUUUGAAAGGUGCAAUUGCACCACUACCAGAUGGACCUGCGUUGUAUUAGCUAGUUGGUGGGGUAACGGCUCACCAAGGCGACGAUACAUAGCCGACCUGAGAGGGUGAUCGGCCUCACUGGGACUGAGACACGGCCCAGACUCCUACGGGAGGCAGCAGUAGGGAAUCUUCGGCAAUAGACGGAAGUCUGACCGAGCAACGCCGCGUGAGUGAAGAAGGUUGUCGGAUCGUAAAGCUCUGUUGUAAGAGAAGAACGAGUGUGAGAGUGGAAAGUUCACACUGUGACGGUAUCUUACCAGAAAGGGACGGCUAACUACGUG
rnacentral:rRNA from 1 species